GAUGACGCUGGCGGCGUGCCUAAUACAUGCAAGUCGAACGAGUUCUCGUUGAUGAUCGGUGCUUGCACCGAGAUUCAACAUGGAACGAGUGGCGGACGGGUGAGUAACACGUGGGUAACCUGCCCUUAAGUGGGGGAUAACAUUUGGAAACAGAUGCUAAUACCGCAUAGAUCCAAGAACCGCAUGGUUCUUGGCUGAAAGAUGGCGUAAGCUAUCGCUUUUGGAUGGACCCGCGGCGUAUUAGCUAGUUGGUGAGGUAAUGGCUCACCAAGGCGAUGAUACGUAGCCGAACUGAGAGGUUGAUCGGCCACAUUGGGACUGAGACACGGCCCAAACUCCUACGGGAGGCAGCAGUAGGGAAUCUUCCACCAAUGGACGCAAGUCUGAUGGAGCAACGCCGCGUGAGUGAAGAAGGCUUUCGGGUCGUAAAACUCUGUUGUUGGAGAAGAAUGGUCGGCAGAGUAACUGUUGUCGGCGUGACGGUAUCCAACCAGAAAGCCACGGCUAAACUACGUGCCAGCAGCCGCGGUAAUACGUAGGUGGCAAGCGUUAUCCGGGAUUUAUUGGGCGUAAAGCGAGCGCAGGCGGUUUUUUAAGUCUGAUGUGAAAGCCCUCGGCUUAACCGAGGAAGCGCAUCGGAAACUGGGAAACUUGAGUGCAGAAGAGGACAGUGGAACUCCAUGUGUAGCGGUGAAAUGCGUAGAUAUAUGGAAGAACACCAGUGGCGAAGGCGGCUGUCUGGUCUGUAACUGACGCUGAGGCUCGAAAGCAUGGGUAGCGAACAGGAUUAGAUACCCUGGUAGUCCAUGCCGUAAACGAUGAAUGCUAGGUGUUGGAGGGUUUCCGCCCUUCAGUGCCGCAGCUAACGCAUUAAGCAUUCCGCCUGGGGAGUACGACCGCAAGGUUGAAACUCAAAGGAAUUGACGGGGGCCCGCACAAGCGGUGGAGCAUGUGGUUUAAUUCGAAGCAACGCGAAGAACCUUACCAGGUCUUGACAUCUUUUGAUCACCUGAGAGAUCAGGUUUCCCCUUCGGGGGCAAAAUGACAGGUGGUGCAUGGUUGUCGUCAGCUCGUGUCGUGAGAUGUUGGGUUAAGUCCCGCAACGAGCGCAACCCUUAUGACUAGUUGCCAGCAUUUAGUUGGGCACUCUAGUAAGACUGCCGGUGACAAACCGGAGGAAGGUGGGGAUGACGUCAAAUCAUCAUGCCCCUUAUGACCUGGGCUACACACGUGCUACAAUGGAUGGUACAACGAGUUGCGAGACCGCGAGGUCAAGCUAAUCUCUUAAAGCCAUUCUCAGUUCGGACUGUAGGCUGCAACUCGCCUACACGAAGUCGGAAUCGCUAGUAAUCGCGGAUCAGCACGCCGCGGUGAAUACGUUCCCGGGCCUUGUACACACCGCCCGUCACACCAUGAGAGUUUGUAACACCCGAAGCCGGUGGCGUAACCCUUUUAGGGAGCGAGCCGUCUAAGGUGGGACAAAUGAUUAGGGGAAGUCUAA
rnacentral:rRNA from 2 species